rnacentral:misc_RNA from 1 species
UACGUAGGUGGCAAGCGUUGUCCGGAUUCACUGGGCGUAAAGCGCGCGCAGGCGGGCCAAUAAGUCCCGGGUUAAAUCCCACGGCUCAACCGUGGGCAGCCCCGGGAUACUGCUGGCCUUGAGGCAUCCAGAGGAGAGUGGAAUUCCCGGUGUAGUGGUGGAAUGCGUAGAUAUCGGGAGGAACACCAGUGGCGAAAGCGGCUCUCUGGGGAUGUCCUGACGCUGAGGCGCGAAAGCGUGGGGAGCGAACCGG